AUUGAACGCUGGCGGCAGGCUUAACACAUGCAAGUCGAGCGGGGUGAUGGUGCUUGCACUAUCACUUAGCGGCGGACGGGUGAGUAAUGCUUAGGAAUCUGCCUAUUAGUGGGGGACAACAUCUCGAAAGGGAUGCUAAUACCGCAUACGUCCUACGGGAGAAAGCAGGGGAUCACUUGUGACCUUGCGCUAAUAGAUGAGCCUAAGUCGGAUUAGCUAGUUGGUGGGGUAAAGGCCUACCAAGGCGACGAUCUGUAGCGGGUCUGAGAGGAUGAUCCGCCACACUGGGACUGAGACACGGCACAGACUCCUACGGGAGGCAGCAGUGGGGAAUAUUGGACAAUGGGGGGAACCCUGAUCCAGCCAUGCCGCGUGUGUGAAGAAGGCCUUAUGGUUGUAAAGCACUUUAAGCGAGGAGGAGGCUCUUUUGGCUAAUACCCAAGAUGAGUGGACGUUACUCGCAGAAUAAGCACCGGCUAACUCUGUGCCAGCCGCCGCGGUAA
rnacentral:rRNA from 1 species